rnacentral:piRNA from 1 species
UGACUCAGCACAUAUGUGGAAAAUCGAGA